UGUAACUCUGUAUUUGUUUGCUGUUGGUUUUGGGUUUGUAAGAUAUUUGUUUGUUUGUGGGUUGUUCUUAUCUUGGUUACACACAUACAUAUAUCCGUAGUUGUUUUUGUUUUUGGUCUGUUUUUGAAUAGGCUUUGAUGAUCUCUUUGCCACUGUGACAUUUCUACUCCAAAAUUCUCCAGGAUCUGUUUUCAUAACAACCCAUCACAAUAUAAGCGGGCAUCAUCUAAUUGAGUUCUUGAUGGCGAAGUGGGGGUUGAAGUGCACGAAACUUCUUGACGGCUUUUCAUUUAUGCCAUCAUACAAGGCAUUUGGGCUAAGUGGCAAUAUUCAAUUGGCAGAAAUUGUUUUGAAUAAUGAAGAGGUCAUGUGCCCAAAAUUAGCAGUAAAAAGCUGAAUGGUGACGCAGCCUCUCUGAUUUUUAACAUUGCUCCAUAGCCAUAUGACAAUUAGUUCAAUUCACCUCAGCGGCUUUUUAUUUGUGGAUUGCUGCUCCUUUCAUUUAUUGAGGUUUCCUGUUUCUUAGAAGCCAAUUUCUGCAUGUGAAAUUUUAGAUCUUGCAACUUUUUUAUACCAAAUUAUUUCACGACAGACAUACUGUUUGUAUAUUUUAUGCCUUGACAAGACUUUUUAGUUACAACAGGUUAGUUUGGGAUACUUUCUUGCAUCUACUCGAAUGAAUGUUACAAUUUUCGUACAAGGUUUUGAGCUUGAACUAAUGAAUUUUUCUAAUGAGAUUGGAUAUUAUUUGAUCAUAUGACUGGCUAUUUAUUGUAACUGACACUUUCUAAGUAUUUGAGGUCUUUGCUGUUCUAAGAAGUCAUCUAUUGCAUUAAUGAUCUUCCCAAUUAUAUUUCUGGAGUUAUAUUGAUUACUUAUUGAUUGUUGGUUGGUUUUGGUAGUUAGUUGAAUUGAGUCAGUGUUUCCUCCAACACAACAUCAGCCUCUAUUACAGAGCCAGGUUUCUUUCUAAAUUGGGAGCUUUGAGGAUCUUGGGUUGGUCUUCUCAUGGCACAUAUUGGUGGGCAUCAUUUCUCUGGAGGGUCUCUAUCAGGUUUUACUUGGCAUUGGGGAGCUCAUCGCUUCAAGGUCUUGCCCCAAGGUACUUUUGUUGAAUGGUAUUCAUGAUCGAGAAACUAGCGGCUUUUCUGCUGCUUGCUUUGGGUUGGGAGGGUUUCGAGCACAAUCUAAGUCUAACCCACAUAAAUAGGUUAGUCUCUCUUAAUCAAUUCAUAUACAUCAUUGUAUUUGUUUUCAAUUCUCUCAAAUUUUCUUUCUUUGCUGUUUCCAUUAGUUUGGAGGGAUUGAAUUAGUUUUUGGUUUCAAUCUGAGGACUUGAUGCUGCAAAUGAUAUCAUCUACGCCAAGUGUUUGUGUUUUUGCUUCUGUUUCUGUAAUAUGGUGUUUGUUGCUUUCAUAGUUUUGCUCGAGUUCAAAUCGUAGAAUCGUAUCAAUUCAUUGCUUGUCCUUCUAAGAAUUAGUAUAUGAUUUGUUGUUCAAGCUCUUCGGUGAUUA